CGGCGAGUCCCCGCUCCCGAGCGGGUUUGUUGGGAGCAAAGUUUGUGUUUUAACGGGAGGUUGGGGAAGGCGAUGGAGGGAACAGCGGCCGUGGGGCAGGAGCAGCUCUGCCGCCUGCGUUUGGGGUCAUGGGGAAUCGGGGCCACGCUGUGCAGAUAUUAGCACUACCCUUAAUUGCUACUCAAUUAAGCAGAACGGGGUGUUGCCGGGGUGCCAGCAUCAUGCUCUGCUCUUUGCUGCGACCACUUCGAGGCGGAAACUCGAGGUGAGCUUGGGUUUCCCUUCUCGCAAAGCUUUUUGCUUUAAUUAUUAACCGGUGCCAGGCAGCGCUGUGGCUUCUGGCUGGAGAUAAGCCAGGGGCUGGUGAGGGACUGGGGGGAGCCCGAUGGCCAGUGGCUGCCCCCCAUGCCCUGGGCACGCAGCCCCUCUCUGGUGGCUCCUGCAGCACCCACAAUCGCAGAUGGGGUGCGGGAGCUCCAAUUUGGGGGGGAUGAGGGAUUUGGGGCAGGCACAGAGUCCCCGGGAGCCAUCGUCUGGCUGUUGUGGGAUGUCUCCCUGCUCCCGGCUGUGUUUGUCAGCAGUGAGGCUGCCUUGUCCCGAGCUGGUGGAGGCAGACGGGCACCGUCGGGCUAAAAAUAACACCAGUAAAUAAAACGCUUCCUCCUGGCCUGGCACGCAGGAGCGAAGGCGCAGGGAGCUUGGAUGUGCCCAGCUGCUGCUCCGUGGCAGAGCUGGCCCCAUGCCUGCAAAGUUCUGGGCUGGUGCCACCAGCUCCUGGCCCAGCUGGACCCUGCUGCCCAGCUUCUGGGGACACGGUGGCCCGUGGCAUCCCCAGUGCUGGCAGUGGGAUGUCACAGGCACAGUCACAGCAGCAGAGAUGGCAACGCUCUACCCUUCCCUGGAGGACAUGAAGGGCCACCAGAUCUUGCAGGCGCAGGCAGCUGCCGGGGUGAGGACCCCCGCCACGACGGUGGUCACGGAGAAGCCAAAACUCACCUCGGGCACCAGCAAUGCAGCACCGCCCAUGCUGUACCCCAACCUGGCCGAGCUGGAGAACUACAUGGGACUUGCUCUCUCCAGCGAAGAGAUCCAGAAGAACCUGCACCCGGAAGACAGCACUGUAGGUGUCUGGGCUGGUGGCUCUCGCCUGCCUUGCAUGGGACCCCCCCACCGUGCCACAGCAUCGCUGAGGACGGGGAGGUCCCACUGGGGCCGCAUCCUGCCCAGAGAAGGGAUGCAGCAUCCCCCUGA
rnacentral:lncRNA from 1 species